AGCAACAAAUGCCCUGCUUCCAGGAAAAGCCUCUAAGCAUCAGGUAACAUCAAAUCGUACCCCAAACCGACACAGGUGGUCAGGUAGAGAAUACCAAGGCGCUUGAGAGAACUCGGGUGAAGGAACUAGGCAAAAUGGUGCCGUAACUUCGGGAGAAGGCACGCUGACACGUAGGUGAAGUGAUUUACUCAUGGAGCUGAAGUCAGUCGAAGAUACCAGCUGGCUGCAACUGUUUAUUAAAAACACAGCACUGUGCAAACACGAAAGUGGACGUAUACGGUGUGACGCCUGCCCGGUGCCGGAAGGUUAAUUGAUGGGGUCAGCGCAAGCGAAGCUCCUGAUCGAAGCCCCGGUAAACGGCGGCCGUAACUAUAACGGUCCUAAGGUAGCGAAAUUCCUUGUCGGGUAAGUUCCGACCUGCACGAAUGGCGUAAUGAUGGCCAGGCUGUCUCCACCCGAGACUCAGUGAAAUUGAACUCGCUGUGAAGAUGCAGUGUACCCGCGGCAAGACGGAAAGACCCCGUGAACCUUUACUAUAGCUUGACACUGAACAUUGAGCCUUGAUGUGUAGGAUAGGUGGGAGGCUUUGAAGUGUGGACGCCAGUCUGCAUGGAGCCGGCCUUGAAAUACCACCCUUUAAUGUUUGAUGUUCUAACGUGGACCCGUGAUCCGGGUUGCGGACAGUGUCUGGUGGGUAGUUUGACUGGGGCGGUCUCCUCCUAAAGAGUAACGGAGGAGCACGAAGGUUGGCUAAUCCUGGUCGGACAUCAGGAGGUUAGUGCAAUGGCAUAAGCCAGCUUGACUGCGAGCGUGACGGCGCGAGCAGGUGCGAAAGCAGGUCAUAGUGAUCCGGUGGUUCUGAAUGGAAGGGCCAUCGCUCAACGGAUAAAAGGUACUCCGGGGAUAACAGGCUGAUACCGCCCAAGAGUUCAUAUCGACGGCGGUGUUUGGCACCUCGAUGUCGGCUCAUCACAUCCUGGGGCUGAAGUAGGUCCCAAGGGUAUGGCUGUUCGCCAUUUAAAGUGGUACGCGAGCUGGGUUUAGAACGUCGUGAGACAGUUCGGUCCCUAUCUGCCGUGGGCGCUGGAGAACUGAGGGGGGCUGCUCCUAGUACGAGAGGACCGGAGUGGACGCAUCACUGGUGUUCGGGUUGUCAUGCCAAUGGCACUGCCCGGUAGCUAAAUGCGGAAGAGAUAAGUGCUGAAAGCAUCUAAGCACGAAACUUGCCCCGAGAUGAGUUCUCCCUGAGACUUUAGGUCUCCUGAAGGAACGUUGAAGACGACGACGUUGAUAGGCCGGGUGUGUAAGCGCAGCGAUGCGUUGAGCUAACCGGUACUAAUGAACCGUGAGGCUUAACCUU
rnacentral:rRNA from 2 species